GGCGAACGCUGGCGGCGUGCUUAACACAUGCAAGUCGAACGGAAAGGCCCUGCUUUUGUGGGGUGCUCGAGUGGCGAACGGGUGAGUAACACGUGAGUAACCUGCCCUUGACUUUGGGAUAACUUCAGGAAACUGGGGCUAAUACCGGAUAGGAGCUCCUGCUGCAUGGUGGGGGUUGGAAAGUCUCGGCGGUUGGGGAUGGACUCGCGGCUUAUCAGCUUGUUGGUGGGGUAGUGGCUUACCAAGGCUUUGACGGGUAGCCGGCCUGAGAGGGUGACCGGCCACAUUGGGACUGAGAUACGGCCCAGACUCCUACGGGAGGCAGCAGUGGGGAAUAUUGCACAAUGGGCGGAAGCCUGAUGCAGCAACGCCGCGUGCGGGAUGACGGCCUUCGGGUUGUAAACCGCUUUCGCCUGUGACGAAGCGUGAGUGACGGUAAUGGGUAAAGAAGCACCUGCUAACUACGUG
rnacentral:rRNA from 1 species